rnacentral:rRNA from 1 species
UUUUGCAUAAUGAGCCUGCGAGUUGUGGUGUCUGGCAAGGUUAAGCAAACGCGAAGCCGUAGCGAAAGCGAGUCUGAAUAGGGCGCUUAGUCAGAUGCUGCAGACCCGAAACGAAGUGAUCUAUCCAUGAGCAAGUUGAAGCUAGUGUAAGAACUAGUGGAGGACUGAACCCAUAGGCGUUGAAAAGCCCCGGGAUGACUUGUGGAUAGGGGUGAAAGGCCAAUCAAACUUCGUGAUAGCUGGUUCUCUCCGAAAUAUAUUUAGGUAUAGCGUUGUGUCGUAAUAUAAGGGGGUAGAGCACUGAAUGGGCUAGGGCAUACACCAAUGUACCAAACCCUAUCAAACUCCGAAUACCUUAUAUGUAAUCACAGCAGUCAGGCGGCGAGUGAUAAAAUCCGUCGUCAAGAGGGAAACAACCCAGACUACCAGCUAAGGUCCCUAAAUCUUACUUAAGUGGAAAACGAUGUGAAGUUACUUAAACAACCAGGAGGUUGGCUUAGAAGCAGCCAUCCUUUAAAGAAAGCGUAAUAGCUCACUGGUCUAGUGAUUUUGCGCGGAAAAUAUAACGGGGCUAAAGUAAGUACCGAAGCUGUAGACUUAGUUUACUAAGUGGUAGGAGAGCGUUCUAUUUGCGUCGAAGGUAUACCGGUAAGGAGUGCUGGAGCGAAUAGAAGUGAGCAUGCAGGCAUGAGUAGCGAUAAUUAAUGUGAGAAUCAUUAACGCCGUAAACCCAAGGUUUCCUACGCGAUGCUCGUCAUCGUAGGGUUAGUCGGGUCCUAAGUCGAGUCCGAAAGGGGUAGACGAUGGCAAAUUGGUUAAUAUUCCAAUACCAACAUUAGUGUGCGAUGGAAGGACGCUUAGGGCUAAGGGGGCUAGCGGAUGGAAGUGCU